rnacentral:lncRNA from 1 species
AUUAUCUGAAGGCCCAGAGGAAUCCAAGCAGGUUCAGAUGAAGUUCAUUUUUUUAAGUCCACCCAACAUCUGCUUUUUGCAAGCUUUCCUUUUCUCCCAGCCCUAACUUUCUCUCAUUCUAUCUCUACCUUUAACAUCUAAAUCAUAUUUGGAAAAAAAGUAAAUAAUUCCUGGAUUGCCUGUAUCAAUUUGGGGAAUGCAAAAUGGAUCAAGGAUUCAAAGUCAGUCUUUAAAGGUUUUGAGUAUUUGGUAGAAGGAAUUUAAUUUGGUGGAGGUUGGGGGAAGAAGAAGACCUAUGAGUUCAAUUGUAUGUUCUCUGAGAUCCCUUCUAACUCUGAAAUUCUGUGAUUACAUUUACCUGGCUCAGGAAUAUGACAUAAAUUCACAAGUAUGCACUAAGCAAAGUGGAAUGAGAACCAACUCUGGAGUAAAAAAAUGAGUUCAAAUCCUGCUUUUGUCAUGGCCUUUUUAAUCUCAGAUGAGAAGGAAAUGGUAAACCACUACAGUAUCCUUGAUAAGAAAACCCAAAAUGGAGUCAUGAAAAGCCAGACAUCAUUGAAAUGAGUAAACAACAACAAAAAGGAUACCCAAAUGUCAGGAUAAGACCUGAGACUAAUUUGAUUCUAAUGCAGAAGAUUCUGAGAACCAGAAGCCAUGGGAGUUGGAAUGCCCAUUGGAUCCUACUGCAACAUGAAGGAAUACGUCCUACACUGUAAGAAAGGGAGUUGCUUUCCAGCCAGUCUUCCUUAUGAGGAGAGGACUGAGGGGACAUCUUUAUGGCUAUUGAAGUGGAAGAGUGCAUCAGAUGGAUGACCCCCAUGAGUUAACUGAGUGAAUUACAGUGGAAUCUGGUAAAAUUUAGCAGUCACAUUUUAGCUCAAGAAGUCAUUUGAACCCCAAACUCCAGAAGCCGUCAGGAAGAGAACUGCAGAAAAGGUUGCCUGAACUCUAUGCAAAGUUUAAAUGCUGCUAUUUACAGAGCUCUGCUCUUUUGACCUCAUCAUCUAGGAUCAUUUUACUCACUCCGUAACAGAUAUUUAAACACAUCUUAGCCCCAACACACAAUUCCGGGUUGACUAGGACUUUUUUUCUUUUUAUCAUUUUAACAAUAGAAUAAAAUAGAUGCAUUCUGGGAAGUUUGGGUGCUA